AACGCUGGCGGCGUGCCUAAUACAUGCAAGUCGAACGGUCUUUCUAUGGAAGCUUGCUUCCACUGAAGAAGAUAGUGGCGAACGGGUGAGUAACACGUGGGUAACCUGCCCAUAAGAGGGGGAUAACAUCCGGAAACGGGUGCUAAUACCGCAUAGUUUUCUUGAUCGCAUGAUUGAGAAAGGAAAGACGGCCUUUGUGCUGUCGCUUAUGGAUGGACCCGCGGCGUAUUAGUUAGUUGGUGAGGUAAUGGCUCACCAAGACGAUGAUACGUAGCCGACCUGAGAGGGUGAUCGGCCACAUUGGGACUGAGACACGGCCCAAACUCCUACGGGAGGCAGCAGUAGGGAAUCUUCCGCAAUGGACGAAAGUCUGACGGAGCAACGCCGCGUGAGUGAAGAAAGGUUUUCGGAUCGUAAAACUCUGUUGUCAGAGAAGAACAAGUUGGAGAGUAACUGCUCCAGCCUUGACGGUAUCUGACCAGAAAGCCACGGCUAACUACGUGCCAGCCGCGGC
rnacentral:rRNA from 1 species